AAGAAGCUUAGGGAUCCGAAGGUCUUCCUCUCCGAUUUUGUCGCCGGAAAGGCCGCCGGAGCACCCCCAUCGGACCGAGGGGAAGAGUCAGCGGUGCCAGGAGGUUUUGAUCAGGGGACUCAGCACCCCAGCUCGUAGGUUGUGAUCCAGAUCUGUAUUUGAGUCUGUCUACAAUUUCGAGUUGCAGGAUGCUUAGAUUUGGAUGGGAUGGGCGCAGAGUGCAAGUAUCAGAGUCAU